UUAUUUGCGUUUUGUUGUAGCUGACAAGCUGUGGGAUUUCGUAUAGAAUUUGAUUUCUUUUGCACUAAAUGGAAAUUGAUAAAUCGAGUUGCUCAGUUUUCUGGAAUAUAUCUCAUUAUUGUGUACAUCAAGUUGAAAUCAAUCUUUCUGUUUCGAAAUUAGUUGCUUUGGUUUUUCGUCUCAUUGUGAGGAAGAGAAUAUAGGCUGAUCAAAUUAAGUUCUUGAUUCCUCUCAUCUACACAAUAAAAAUUGAAACCAAGUGCAAUUGAUAAAAAUUGAUGCGCAAAAAAGAGAGAGAGACAGAGCGAAAGAAAGCCAGAGAGAGAGAGAGAGAACGAGAGAAAGCCAGAGAGAGGAAGAAGGCCUGCGUUUUGGAGGACGAUCUGCAUCCGUCUGGGUUUGUUUUGAGAUCGAUCUCAAUUAUUUAGGGAUUGCUGAUAGGUAUUCCAUUCGAUCGAGAGCACCUGAAAGAUUGUGGGAAUUGAUCAUGGGCAAUUGGGCAAAUAACAUGAUAGAGCAAUUGGGAGCUAAAGAUCAGUUGUUAAAACUGAGUUCGGGUGGUGAGUCAAGGUUAUACUAAAAGAUGGGUUGGGGAUACUGUUUUCAAUUGUUCAUCCGCGUUCUGAGAUGACGGAGCUGUCUCUGGGUUUGGGUUGGAAUCACAAUAUUGCUGUAGGUGUUUUUGGGGAGUCACAAAAGUGCUGUGGGGGUUUCUGGGGAGAUCAUUUGUUAAAACUGAGUUCGGGUGGUGAGUCAAGGUUAUACUAAAGAUGAGUUGAAGUCAGUGGGUGCGGGUUUGAAUCACAAUUCUGUUGUCGGUGUUCUGUGUGAUAGGUAUAGUGAUAGACAUGGAAUCAUCGGAGAGAGAUUUGAUCUGUUGUGAGGGAGGGAGGGAGGGAGAGAGCUUUGGAGUGAGAUUUGAUUUAUAAUCUAGAGAGAUCGGUGUAUUCAAGAAAAGGGGGGAAAAUGUAUAGAGAGAUCAGUGGUCAAGAAGAACGACUGAGAGAGAGGAGGAGAAUGUGUGUUUGUUUGGUUUGUGCGAAUUGAUAGACGGAUUGAAGGAAAAUUUUCACCUUACGAUCUGAGUACGAGGUGAAUUGGAUUUCAGUCUAUGUUGGGUUUCUGAUUCGUGUUUUUUUCUUAUAUUGGUUUUGCAGGGAAAAUUUGAGGAGAUCUUUUUGGUCAUCGAAUACAGAGAAAAGUGGCGAGACGAAAAAUAAAAAGAGAGGGAGAAGAGAACGAGAACGAAGGAAGAGGAGGACAAAAGACGGACGGGAAGCUGUUGCGUAAAGGUCUUUGUAAAGCCUCAAGCACUGCAAUAGAAAAGAGAACAAGGCAAAUCAGUUUUGUCUCCAAUUUCACAGGAAGGAACGCGGAUUUGCUUAAGAAUCAUAAGCAGCUGUGUCUUUGUUCAUUUCUAGGUUCAGAGAUUUGAAGGUUUAAAACAGAAUAGCAGCUGAAGUGUCAAAGCUGCAGAGUUUAAAAUAAAAGGAACAGUUGGAGGAUCUUAUAGCCAAGUUGUUGCUCCGGGAAGUCUCUAUCUAACCCGACAUCAAGCUCCAUAGAAACUGGGUCGACUGUGGAAAAUCAAAUCAUCAAGGUAAUUUAGUAAGCAGAGAAAGCGGGUAACUCUUCAACACAGACAAGGAAAGAUGAGUAUUGUAGCUAAUGCAGAUACAAACAUGAUGAGUGGCAAAUACCUGAGUGGCAAAUGGUUAACAAAUACAUGAUCCUGUUUUUCAUUGAGGAAGUUCAUAAUAGGAAGUUGCAAUACACAGUAACCAUUUUUCCUUCUCCAACUGAAGCUUGCACCAGCAAUGGUUUGUGCCCCAAAAAUUUUUUUCACACUAAUGUUCUGCUUUUAUUUAGUGGUACAAGUCAAUGUUUAAGCACUGCCUUAUGAGACAGGCUAUGAUAAAUUGCAGAGAACGUUAAGCAAGGAAUUUAAGCAUAUACAGUCCAGGUAGGUGAAAGUUUAGAGAAUUGGUUAGAGUGAUUCCUUCAGUUGUGCUCCAUUGAAAUGCACAAUGUGUUAAUGUCGCCAAAUGGAGCAAACUUUUCUGACUAUGAAUGCAAGAUAAAAGUUCAUCUUCUUUGUACUAUUUGAUCUUCACAUUAUGAGCUCUUUGGAUCAUUUUUUAGUUGUCUUGAAUUGUAUAGUUUCCGAACAAACGUAUUGUUUGAUGCAUCGAGUCAUUUGUUGAUGGUUUUUAGUUUAUUGAUGGAAAUACUAAGAUGCUUCUAGCUCAAGUCAA